UCAUAUUGUUAAAAAAUAUGCCACUUGUAUUUUCAGGAGGUCAUAGGCCAAUAUAUAUAUAUAUGGUGUAACCUUUCAUGUAACUAGGUUGCGUGAGGCAGAAUUGAUGGCCGAAUGUUUGCCAGGCAGAUGAAAAGUAAAAAAAAACUUUACACGUAGGUAGAUCGAGCGACCCAAAAUCGCUAGCGGUCGCAGUUGCCUCGGUUAUGCGGGUACUCUAGAAGGGUUUAUAUGUUUGAUUGAGCACCUAAUAUCCUCCACAAUGGCCAAACUAUCAGCGCCAUCAUCCGCUUUAUGAGCUGAUAACAAGCAUGCAGACUCACUCACCCAUUACCCAUCAGGUGACCCAGUGACGAAAACUGCAUGCAAGAAGAAACUAAUGCUAAGAAACCUUUAAUAAAUUCAAACAUGAUAACGAAAAACAAUGAAAAAUUGCACCAUCAACUUCUCACUCAAAUGAAAAUAAAUAAAUACAUUAACUGGGGAUGUACUAAGUGAUAAUAUCAAGGCAAUACAUGAUGUUAGUUUCAUACAGAUCAUACAUCCCGCACUCUACUGUACAAUACAAUAUAUAAAAUAUACGAACUUGUUAUACUUCUUUGUCCACCAGUACAACAUAAAAGAUGGCUUAUAUCGACGACAUUAGCAAGCUACAAAGAUUUUCAAUUAUCAAACUUGAUUGUGUGAAUGAUUUCGUUUAUGCCAGUUCUGGUCGAUCUUGGUCAUGAAACAGUCAUGUCUGAUAUGCCUUGUGUCGCGCAUGUAUAGUUCAUCAAGGAUGUAAUGGCGAUCUCGAAAAGACAACUAAAAUGAGAAAGGUAUGAAGCCUUAGGAUGUAAGGGAGGUAGGCAGAGAAAGCGAUAACUUAAUAACAUUUUUUCAAAAAUACAUUUUGCAACAAAAUAAACCCAAACAGGGACCAUAAGCUAUGGCCUGGUCCUCGGGGGAUUGUCGAGAUUCACCAUAUAACUAUGAUAAUUAAUUUAACACAUUAUGAAGGCAAGAAAUGAUCCUAGCCUUACAGAAUAUCAUAGCACGCACAUUUGAUAGAGGAUACAGAAAGCUAUAAGCCGUCAGCCAACCACGCUACCACAUAAACCAUGAGAAAUGUUGAAAAAAGACCAAGUUAGACAUAUGGAUGCAAAAGCAUCAAAGAGGGAAAUGGGUAAAAAUUCACCGGAGGGCAGUCAAUGGAACAAUGAGUAGAUCCUACUUACGCGCCACUGAAACCCAUGACAUAUUAGGACCAGUGCUUCACCACGCAGUUAUUGCAGAUGCAUGCCAACCAACGAACUAACAUGACCACAACUUUUCCCCAGAAGGGAAACAAUGAAGAAGCUUAUUUGCGUAAGCCUAGUUAAUUUGGUAUCUGCGCAAAACAACAAGAAGACGCACUUUCUUCAGGUAUGAUUUCACAAAUUAGAAUGUCAGCCACUAACUGAAGUAAGACCAAGCAUUUAUGUGCUCUGACUAUCAUAACAGCUAGAAAAUAAUAACUAACUAUAUUUACCAAUAUGUACAAUGCUCCAGAUUAGCUAGGGAGACAAACCCAAGGGAAAGAGGAUGUGCACCUGAAACCUGCUGAAGUUUGCUUUGGUCUCCAUCUCAUAGGCCAGCCCAGAAACAGAAUUAGCAAACCUAUGUGCCUCCCCUCAUAUUAAGCUAUCCACCUAAAGUUGACAAGCACGUACAAAGGCGAAAUUUACAUCAGCCAUAAAUCAUAGGUUCUAGGCAAAGAAAUAUAAUUUCUACAUAAAAAACCAGUGGUAUCAAAUUCAGGUUGGUAGUGCAAAAAAAUUUUAGAUCAUCGGAAAAUAAGUACCAAAAUAUUGCUCCCUUUAAGAUACUACAAGCAAAGCACUACAGUUUUGAAUAUGACAACACAAAACUUCAGUCAAAGGCAAUAAUGCCCAGAAACACACACUUUUGCAUUACGUUUCAUACACCAUUUUCAUCAUCUCCCUUCAAGAACUCCCAAUGCCUUCAAGGAUAAAAGGAGCCAUCAUGUAAGCACGUCGAAGAUACUACAUUAAACUCGGCCAAAAAAACGAAGAAAUUGAUUAAGCGAAUCGUCAUGCACAGGCUCUGAAUAUAGGAUAUGCAAGCCCACAAGCUGGCUCGAGCUGGAAAUAUAAAAACCUGAGAGGCUGAGGGAUGUCGAAAGCAUGAUCAUCAAGAAUCAUAAUGGCAUGGUGCAGAUUUAGUUUUCUAAAAAAAGCCAUGACCAUAGUAGACUCCUGCAAAUUACUAAGAAGCCGUCGAUGCUCUCUGUAGCCUCCUCCUAUGAAACAUCAUCCACGGGCCACUAUACUAUAGAACAGGAAACAAAUUACUAUCAGAUUAAAACUAAUUUUCAGAGCGAGGAGUACUCACCAAGGGGAGAAAGGAGUGGAGUGCAGCCAGUCACAACACGCGUAGGCCACCGGAUGGGAAAGGCCACUCCAUUUUGCUCAAUCUGCU
rnacentral:lncRNA from 1 species